rnacentral:rRNA from 1 species
AUUUAUCGUACGAAGAGUGGGCUCGCGUCCGAUUAGCUAGUGGAGGGUACGCCCACCAAGGCGACGAUCAGUAGCCGGUCUGAGAGGAUGAACGGCCACAUUGGGACUGAGACACGGCCCAGACUCCUACGGGAGGCAGCAGUAGGGAAUCUUCCACAAUGGGUGAAAACCUGAUGGAGCAAUGCCGCGUGAAUGAAGAAGGUCUUCGGAUCGUAAAGUUCUGUUAUUAGAGAAGAACAAGUCAAGGAGUAACUGUCUUGACUUUGACGGUACCUAACCAGAAAGUCACGGCUAACUACGUG